GGCGAACGCUGGCGGCGUGCUUAACACAUGCAAGUCGAACGGAAAGGCCCUGCUUUUGUGGGGUGCUCGAGUGGCGAACGGGUGAGUAACACGUGAGUAACCUGCCCUUGACUUUGGGAUAACUUCAGGAAACUGGGGCUAAUACCGGAUAGGAGCUCCUGCUGCAUGGUGGGGGUUGGAAAGUUUCGGCGGUUGGGGAUGGACUCGCGGCUUAUCAGCUUGUUGGUGGGGUAGUGGCUUACCAAGGCUUUGACGGGUAGCCGGCCUGAGAGGGUGACCGGCCACAUUAGGACUGAGAUACAGCCGAGACUCCUACGGGAGGCAGCAGUGGGGUAUAUUGCACAAUUGGCGGAAGCCUAAUGCAGCAACGCCGCGUGCGGGAUGAAGGCCUUCGGGUUGUAGACCUCUUUCGCCUGGGACGAAGCGUAAGUGACGGUAAUGGGUAAAGAAGCACCGGCUAACUACGUG
rnacentral:rRNA from 1 species